ACUCAAAUGAAUUGACGGGGGCCCGCACAAGCGGUGGAGCAUGUGGCUCAAUUCGAUGCAACGCGAAGAACCUUACCAGGCCUUGACAUGCACUAGACAGGCGUUGAAAGACGCUCUCCCUUCGGGGCUAGUGCACAGGUGCUGCAUGGCUGUCGUCAGCUCGUGUCGUGAGAUGUUGCGUUAAGUCGCGCAACGAGCGCAACCCCUGUCCUUAGUUGCCAUCGGGUAAAGCCGGGCACUCUAGGGAGACAAACCCUCUCUGAGGGUGGGAAGGUGGGGAUGACGUCAAGUCAGGAUGGCCCUUACGGCCUGGGCUGCACACGUGCUACAAUGCCCGGUACAGAGGGACGCAAGACCGCGAGGUGGAGCAAAUCCUCAAAACCGGGCCUAGUUCAGAUUGCAGUCUGCAACUCGACUGCAUGAAGCCGGAAUCGCUAGUAAUGGCACAUCAGCUACGGUGCCGUGAAUACGUUCCCGGGCCUUGCACACACCGCCCGU
rnacentral:rRNA from 1 species